UCCUCGGUGUUUAGACUGCCCUAAUAUGACUUUAAAAUACAGGUUUAUUGAAAGUUCAGAGUGUAAAUUGUAAAGGAUGGUAAAUAAACCGAUGUGAUUAUAUUAAUGAUAAUAAUUAAAGUCUGCCAUAUUCAACUUUCAAAGCUUGCUCACUGUAGUCUUACUAUUGAUAUGCACUUGUACAUAUCUGAGAGCUAUUGUACCAAGUGUAAUCGACAGAAGUAAAACUGGGUUUUUAGGAACAUUUUGGAAGUUUGC